CAUGGGAAACAAGAAACACAUGGACAUCAGUGAAGAAAACCACAUCAGCAAAACACUUCAGUUGAUUCAGAUAUUAUUAUUAUAUAUUCUAACUAACUUCUAAGGUCUAUUUUCAGAUUUGUUGCGGUUCAUCAUUGUGCCUGUGGGUUUAUCAGGACUCAUAAUAACUGUUGUUUCAGUCAACAUCUGGACAAGAACUGAAGGGAACAAAACACAGAUGGAUGGAAACAUGGAGCAUAAUGAUGAAGAUGAAGAUGAUGGUACGGUGAACUAUGAAAAUGUUGGAGAGCCUUCUGUCUCAGUCAGACUUCACUGAUCAACAACUUCUGUUUACAUAAGAUAGACAAACAACAGAAUCAUGAGAUCAUUUUAAGAUUUUGGAUGACUGAAAGUGUUUUUAUUUAUCAGUGUGACAAAUGUGUUUUUGUUCCAAGUUAUUUCUAUGUCAGUCUGCGCUGGACAAAGAUACUCAAGUCUUUGAUCUCAUAUUAACAUCAGGUUUUCUAAAAUGUCUUUAACUUUCUCAGUUAUGAAAUGUUUCUCAUCUGCAGUCAGUUCAGAAGACAGCAGCUGGAUCUGAACUUCAUUUAAAGGAAAGAUAACUUAUUAUUCAUGCAUUUCUUAUUUAAUGUCUUUAAAUAAUGCUCUCACAUACCCAUACACAUUUAUACUGCUGUCCGUACUGUAUAUAUCUGAUCUGUACGUUGUGUUCAUAUCAUAUAUUCAGCUGUUGAUUCUGUAUUUAAUGUCAUAAUGUUAACCUUAUACUUACUUUAUAUAUCUUUAUAUCGUAUUCAUAUCAACUCCCAGGGGCGUUGCCAAACAUAAACCUCUACUGGGGCACGGGCCCUCCCAUCCCUCAUACAUUUUUGGAAGUGUAUGAAAUGUGUUAAUACGGGAAGCUGGUGAAGCACAUAUUAACACAUUUCAUACACUUUCCAAAGGGAUUUCAUCCAGAUUUUGUGCAUGGGUUCAAUUUUAAUAUUUUAAUGUCUCUGUAAUA